AAGACAAAUAUUAUAUAUGAAUAAAUGCUGUGAAUAUACACUAAUGUUGCCAAUACCAAUAUACACGUGUCGAUGUUAUUUUUCUUGUAACAACAAAAAGUAGUGAUAUGUAUAGACCAGAGAAUGAACGUAAACAUUAUUUGGACAAAUGUAAAAUGAAAUUCUGAAUUUACCUAACACAGAUCAUAUAUAUCAGAAGUAAUUUACAUGCUAGAAAGUGAAUUUUUAAAAUUAGUCGAAAUGAUAUUGUUUUUUGUAACUUUGCUUUAAAUGAACAUAAAAUUCCGAUAUUAAAAUAUCUGUCGUAUAAAAUAAGAAGCAACGAUUGAACUUGAUAAACUUUUGGAAAUAGUUCGAAUUUGUUUCAUAUGCGUAGCAGUACAGGAAAAUCUAGAAUAUGUAGAUUAAGAUUUCCGUUUUUACUCCACGAAAGCAAAGCCAAGCCGUGAAACCAAGAAGUAGCAGAAUCAUCUAAUGUAUUUCCGACUUAUUCAUAAAUUUCAGAUUUAUUUAAUAAAACAGGAUAGAAAAUUAGAACGUUAUCAAUAAAAGUGAAACUCGAACUCCUAGAAAAUCAGUAAAUCCAUCUUCUCGAAACAAAUGUGGGAACAAAAAUUUGAAAUGUAGAGUAUUUGCAUCAUUUGUUGUUAGCAUUUAUUUCUUAAUAAUUUCACUGCUUAGAAGGUUAUUUCUAAAUCGAAACAGUAGAACUUACGAUCGUGCCUCGACAACUAAAACGUACUAUGGAAUAUUGUUCAAAAUUAUAUUGGAAAAUUGAUUUAUCUUAGUAAAUUUUGGAACAUUCUAAUACUUGUUAACACGUUAGUGAGAUGUAACAACCGAAAAAUAUAAUUUCAACAUCAAAGGUACGAAUCUAUGCAUCUUUGAAAAUUAAAAAAGAAACGAUAUGCACAACUAUAUACAUUAUAAAUAACACAUGAUAUUAUAUAUGAGUAAGUCUAAUUUGGUAAGUUUAAUACCAAUGUUUCAAAAGUGGUUUUUAAAUAUACAGAAUGUUCUACGAAAUAAAAUGUUCGAGCGAUACAUUACAAAGCAUACGAAUGUUUUUCGGAGGUGAAGGUAAUAUCGAUUCUAUUCUUUUAAAUGGAGUCAUGUAUCUUUUGUACAGUAGUUUAUAUAUUUUUUAAAUUCUGCACAUAGAUAUUGAAAUGUUUUCAUUAGAAAAAAAAAGAAAAAUUUGAUAUACAAAAUAUAAAGAAAACUAUAAUAAGCAGGUAUGAAGAUAUAAUAAAUAUUAUACUACAAGCUGUUAUAACAAAGAAAAUGAUAUGUUAAUAAUGUAUGCGAUAACGUGAUAGGAAUAUGUUGCAUUUAUCAAAUACUCGACAUUUAAAUUAAUGCAAUAAGAACACAGUACAGCAUAGUGAAAAAAUUAAUAAAAUUUUCUGAAGACAAGACAAAAUCCUUAUGUAUUGAGUCUUGAUUGCUUUGCAUAUUAAAUUGUAAAAAUAAAUAAGGAACAAUUUAUUGUUUAAAGGAAGCAAGUUAAGUUUAAAUAUGUUACAAGGAACUAAAUAUAAUAAAGUGAUAGAAACAUAAGAUGGAGAUGAAAAUUUUUAAUAGAAUACAAAUUAUAUUGUUAACAAUAAGUUAGAUUUAUAUACAUAAAAUCGAAAAAUCUUAUUUCUUCUUCCAUAUAUAUGCUUCAUAGUGUUACAUGAUCUUUUAAUGGUAUUGCGCGAUUUCCUUUGAUCAAAUAAUGUUAAUAUAAUGUAUUUUAAGAUGCAAUAUGAAUGAGGACAACUUUCUCCACGUAUAAACACUCAUCUAUUUAAAUCAGUCGAUCCAGUCAAGAAACUUGUUAUGUUAAAAUUGACAGAGAUUGGCAGAACAAUCCACGAUAUGGUGUAUGCUGUUAAUCCCUAAUUUGAUGUUUAAUAAGGUAAAAAAAUGGGAAAAACGUAGAGAUCCAUUAUACAGUGUAAAGUCGAUAUGUUAUCUAUUUAAUUUUCAAGGAAUGGUCGAUUGACGUGGAACUCAAUGGGCUUCGGCGGUGACCAAAUGCUCGAAAGAGGCCUUACACUGAGACCUGCCACAAGUAAUUAAUAGUGAAUUAUUCAUUUGUGCCACAAGCACGAACUAAAUAGAGGAAGAAUUGGAUCACUACAAUGUGCUAUGUUAUUAUAUCAAAAUUAAGACUCAGCUCUACUAAGCUACACAUACUACAUCCUUGAAAUCUAAUAUUAUCAAAAACUUACAUUUUGAAAAACACUUCUAAUAUAUGGUCAGAAUAAAUUAUUUAUUGACAAUAUAAAUAGUUCGUUUAAUAUGUAGUCAAUAUAUACUUAGCUUCUUUACUUAUAGUAUCUCCAUAUUAUUUUUCACUAAAUGAUUAAGAUAUUGUAUAAAAUAAACUAAUAUGAAAUAUAAACAUGUGAAAACACAUGAUAACAGACUAUUAAAUAUUAAUGCAAAGAAGUGUAUAUUUAGAAAUAACAGGAAGCAUACUAUUUCAUGCAGCAAACCAAACAUGAGGAAGCAUUUUGAACUAUUGUGUACACACAUAAACACGUUAUAGUUAUAUAAUUUUUGAUAUAAUAGAUUUAAACUUAUACAGAGAAAAUAAAUACACAUACGCAUAUUUACAUAGCUUGCAAAAAAUUAGGAAGAACAUAUAUGCAAAUUUUUAUUAAUUAGACUGAAAUAUUAAAAUAUGAAAUAAUAAUACUAAUAAACAUUCUCUCUCCAAACUAUUCAAAAGCUCAAAAGAAUCAUAAAUUAAGCAAAAAUUGGAACCAAGUAAAAUACUGUUAUUUUAUGUGAUAAAUUUAUGUGUUUUUGUAUACUUAUCUUGUAGUAUAUCACAUAUAAUAACAUGAUAUUGUUAUAAUAUUAACUGUAUUACUUUGAUUUUUUCAGUUCUUCCAUUUUUAUUCAUAUGUCACUUUUAUAUUUCCAAAUUAUACCUCACAAUAGUGAAUAUUAUUAUUGACAUAAAUAAAGUUAGUAUCUUUUGGAAAGAUACUGAAAAUGUUUGGUUGGUUGGUUGGUUGUUUGGUCGUACAAAGUGCAGCUCUCUGUGGGGUGGAAAUCUGGAGGCGACAGGGAGAUGGAAGGAUAGAUUGAAUCCAAAGAAAAUAUAUGAAAUGAAUCUUAGGUUUAGGUAGAAGCAUACCGAAUUAUAUAAUAAUAGAGAAAUACAAAAUGUGGAACUGCACAUCAGGACAAUGAGAAAGGCUUUAAAUUAUAAAAAAUGGGUAAGAGAGUCAUUCAUUUCAAGAUGACACAUCAUCAAGAGUGUCAUCAAGAGUUUUCAUUUUCUUUUCUUAGUUUGCUAAGAAUGUUAUACUAUCACCUUGUAGGAAAUAUGAUUAGAUAUAAAAUUAGUCUAAGCAAUGAUUAGACAACUAGAAAUCAUCCUCUAGCCAAGAAGCCAGAGCAGUAUGAAAUAAAUAAAAAAAUAAUUUUUGUAUUUUUUUAAAUUUAAAAUUUUGUUAAAUAUAAACUGCAUAACAUAGAAUGUUUAUUU